CUCGCUGCAGUUAAUAGCGCAAAUAGUCCGCAAAAAAAUAAAACUAAAACUAAAAAAUAAUUUAAAACGUAUCCAGCGCUUGAAUAAAAAUGAAUGAGGCUACGAAUCUGUUUACCACCUUCGGCAUUUUGGCCAUUUUGCUGUUCUUCCUCUGGAUCAUCUAUGCAGUGUUGUAAAUAACACAGACUCCAUGGCUGGGGCAUAGAGCAAAGCAAGCAGCAACAACAACAACAACAACGACAAUAACAAAAUGAAUGAAGCCAGAAGUUUGUUUACCACCUUCAUAAUCCUGGCCUUCUUGCUCUUCUUGCUCUAUGCCUUCUACGAAGCCGCUUUCUAAAUAAUGAUUUGACUCUAAUUCAAGGAUAUAUGCUUACAUGUUGAAUUUUGAAUUCCAAAAACAAUAAUUUAAAAUAUGAAAAAAUAAAUACCAAAUUACAUACGACUAGGAUUUUUUGUAGAGCGUUACGCGCGUUUAAGCCGCUAGCAUUUAAUGGAUUUCUAUUAGUACCCUAAGUCAGAUGACGUCAAAGCUGCAGGCAAUAAGAGCAGCUGCUCGGUUCGAUUGGGGGCUUUGUAUCGCCAGAGGAAAUGUGUGAUCCGUCAUUCGGGCGAUCCAAUUGAAACGUUUGGGACAUUCUCAACUUUUAUAGCCGGCACGGCCUUGGCGUCAUCUGCUCUAAUCAUAAAUAUUAACAGGCAACAUUUUCGUUUCGCAAUGGAAUUUAUUCAAUUAAUAAUUAAUUGACCAUAAUGUACAGUAUAAAUGUGUAUUGCAACAACAACAACACGAACAGCAACAACAACAGCUCAUGGCGCACAUAGGAAAAUUAUGUAUUUCAUUGUUUAACACUUUGCACAUAAUAUGUAAGAUCUUUAUUUAAUUCUAUUUGCAUUUUUUCGUAAAUAACAACAAGACCAACAGC